GAUGCCUGACUUGCCAGCACCACACCACUGGUGAGGCUGUCCUGCUGCACCUGUGACGUUGGGGCAGAGAGGAAGUGGCUAUUUCCAUGCUCAGUGCUCAGAAGAGUGGGCCCUAAGAAUAGUUUGUAGCUGGACAUCA